UUUUGCUGCUUGCAACAUCUGAUGUGUGUCAUGCAGAUCUUCCACAAGAGAUCCAAAAAUUAUUUCUUAGGGAAUUUGGAGAAGUUUGCAAUAUCGAGUUGCCUGGUAAGGAAGAUAGAGCAACAUUUUUGGAGGACCUAAUUCUAAAUCAAACUGCUAAGCCUCCUGUAAAGAAUGCAGUUCACCGGACAUUGGAAGUCCUGCCUGUAGCAUCACCACCUGAGCCUCAAGAGCUGACAGAGGAAGAAGUAGGAGUGCUGGAGGAGGAAGAGGAGAAUAC